rnacentral:rRNA from 1 species
UUCUCCCCGAAAGCUAUUUAGGUAGCGCCUCGUGAACUCAUCUUCGGGGGUAGAGCACUGUUUCGGCUAGGGGGCCAUCCCGGCUUACCAACCCGAUGCAAACUACGAAUACCGAAGAAUGUUAUCACGGGAGACACACGGCGGGUGCUAACGUCCGUCGUGAAGAGGGAAACAACCCAGACCGCCAGCUAAGGUCCCAAAGUCAUGGUUAAGUGGGAAACGAUGUGGGAAGGCACAGACAGCCAGGAUGUUGGCUUAGAAGCAGCCAUCAUUUAAAGAAAGCGUAAUAGCUCACUGGUCGAGUCGGCCUGCGCGGAAGAUGUAACGGGGCUAAACCAUGCACCGAAGCUGCGGCAGCGACGCUUAGGCGUUGUUGGGUAGGGGAGCGUUCUGUAAGCCGUUGAAGGUGUGCUGUGAGGCAUGCUGGAGGUAUCAGAAGUGCGAAUGCUGACAUAAGUAACGAUAAAGCGGGUGAAAAGCCCGCUCGCCGGAAGACCAAGGGUUCCUGUCCAACGUUAAUCGGGGCAGGGUGAGUCGACCCCUAAGGCGAGGCCGAAAGGCGUAGUCGAUGGGAAACAGGUUAAUAUUCCUGUACUUGGUGUUACUGCGAAGGGGGGACGGAGAAGGCUAUGUCAGCCGGGCGACGGUUGUCCCGGUUUAAGCAUGUAGGCGGAGGUUCCAGGUAAAUCCGGUACCUUAUUAACGCUGAGGUGUGAUGACGAGGCACUACGGUGCUGAAGUGAUAAAUGCCCUGCUUCCAGGAAAAGCCUCUAAGCAUCAGGUAACACGAAAUCGUACCCCAAACCGACACAGGUGGUCAGGUAGAGAAUACCAAGGCGCUUGAGAGAACUCGGGUGAAGGAACUAGGCAAAAUGGUGCCGUAACUUCGGGAGAAGGCACGCUGAUAUGUAGGUGAAGUCCCUGCGGACGGAGCUGAAAUCAGUCGAAGAUACCAGCUGGCUGCAACUGUUUAUUAAAAACACAGCACUGUGCAAACACGAAAGUGGACGUAUACGGUGUGACGCCUGCCCGGUGCCGGAAGGUUAAUUGAUGGGGUUAGCGGCAACGCGAAGCUCUUGAUCGAAGCCCCGGUAAACGGCGGCCGUAACUAUAACGGUCCUAAGGUAGCGAAAUUCCUUGUCGGGUAAGUUCCGACCUGCACGAAUGGCGUAAUGAUGGCCAGGCUGUCUCCACCCGAGACUCAGUGAAAUUGAACUCGCUGUGAAGAUGCAGUGUACCCGCGGCAAGACGGAAAGACCCCGUGAACCUUUACUAUAGCUUGACACUGAACACUGGUCCUUGAUGUGUAGGAUAGGUGGGAGGCUUUGAAGCGUGGACGCCAGUCUGCGUGGAGCCAACCUUGAAAUACCACCCUUUAAUGGCUGGUGUUCUAACGUAGACCCGUAAUCCGGGUUGCGGACAGUGUCUGGUGGGUAGUUUGACUGGGGCGGUCUCCUCCCAAAGAGUAACGGAGGAGCACGAAGGUUGGCUAAUCCUGGUCGGACAUCAGGAGGUUAGUGCAAUGGCAUAAGCCAGCUUGACUGCGAGCGUGACGGCGCGAGCAGGUGCGAAAGCAGGUCAUAGUGAUCCGGUGGUUCUGAAUGGAAGGGCCAUCGCUCAACGGAUAAAAGGUACUCCGGGGAUAACAGGCUGAUACCGCCCAAGAGUUCAUAUCGACGGCGGUGUUUGGCACCUCGAUGUCGGCUCAUCACAUCCUGGGGCUGAAGUAGGUCCCAAGGGUAUGGCUGUUCGCCAUUUAAAGUGGUACGCGAGCUGGGUUUAGAACGUCGUGAGACAGUUCGGUCCCUAUCUGCCGUGGGCGCUGGAGAAUUGAGGGGGGCUGCUCCUAGUACGAGAGGACCGGAGUGGACGCAUCACUGGUGUUCGGGUUGUCAUGCCAAUGGCACUGCCCGGUAGCUAAAUGCGGAAGAGAUAAGUGCUGAAAGCAUCUAAGCACGAAACUUGCCCCGAGAUGAGUUCUCCCUGAGACUUUAAGUCUCCUGAAGGAACGUUGAAGACGACGACGUUGAUAGGUCGGGUGUGUAAGCGCAGCGAUGCGUUGAGCUAACCGAUACUAAUGAACCGUGAGGCUUAACCUU